AUAGCGUAUAUUAAAGUUGUUGCAGUUAAAAAGCUCGUAGUUGAACUUCAGCCUCUUGGCCGGGCGGUCUGCCUCACGGUAUGUACUGUCUGGCUGGGGCUUACCUUCUGGUGAGCUUGCAUGCCGUUUAUUCGGUGUGUGAGGGAACCAGGACUUUUACCUUGAGAAAAUUAGAGUGUUCAAAGCAGGCAAAUGCCCGAAUACAUUAGCAUGGCAUAAUGGAAUAGGACGUGCGGUUCUAUUUUGUUGGUUUCUAGAGUCGCCGUAAUGAUUAAUAGGGAUAGUCGGGGGCAUCCGUAUUCAAUUGUCAGAGGUGAAAUUCUUGGAUUUAUUGAAGACGAACUACUG
rnacentral:rRNA from 1 species